CUGUUUCUCACACACAUCCAUGAGGGAAGAAUCAUUCUCAUUUAACAGACAAUGUAACUGGGCCUGAAUAUAGCUCAGCGACUUGCCCCAGGCCCACCAGGAAGUGGAUAAAGCCAUGCUCAACCCAGCACUUCUUCUCCCUACCUUCCACCCAUCCUGCCUGCUCAUCUUCCCUCCUUGGUGAAGGCAUGUGUGCUGUGCUCUGCUUAACUAAUUUCCCUCAGAUAUUCGCAUUUCUGUCUUUACAAUUUGGCAUCCCAGUGAGGUUUCCCUUUGUAUAUUUUCCGGUUCCUGUAUUCCCAUUAUUCAGGUAUCAUCACUCAAUAACCAUUUGACAGCAGUAAUGCUUUUCACAUGGAAAGAAUUGGGUUUUUAUUGAUGGCAAAUGUUGUGAUGAACUUUCAUGCCCACUUGGAGCCGGAGCACCUUUUUUAUAGAAUGAACCACAAUGAGAAGCGUUUCCAAGAAAUGUCUUUGGAGUGUGGACUGAGAUGUACUUUUAGGAACAGGUCCUGUGGCCAGAGUGGGGAGAGAGGGGCCUUCCCAUUGUCAAAAUCUCAUCAAUCAAAAUGUAUAAUAGCAACAUUAUUAAUAACCCUAUAGUUGCAUUGCACUUGGUGCUCUUCCAAGCACUUCCCUAGAAUCCUAAAAUGAAGGCAGGGCAGAUAUUAUAUCCAUGUUACAGGUUAAACAACAUUGUAACAGGACUGAUAACACCAUGAAUGAGAAGUCAUUUGAUCAAUGGAGAGCCAGUUAUUAAACAUUUACCAACAUGUGCAAGAACGGGUUUCAAGGCCGAGGUGGGCAGAUCACAAGGUCAGGACUUUGAGACCAGCCUGGCCAAUAUGGUGAAACCCCAUUUCUACUAAAAAUACAAAAAAAUUAGCCAGGCGUGGUGAUGCAUGCCUGUAAUCCCAGCUACUCGGGAGGCUGAGGCAGGAGAAUUGCUUGAACCCGGGAGGCGGAGGUUUGCAGUGAGACAAGAUCGCGCCACUGCACUCCAGCCUGGCAACAGAGCAAGACUCCGUCUCAAACACAACACAGCACAACAAAACAAAAAAGAACGAGUUUCAUAGUGAGAAACAGCGGAGAAGCCAGCUUACCUGGUGGGCCUUGAGUGGCCCCUACAAACUCCAACCUGUUCAAGACUCAUUUGCCAUGUUGUCCCUUCCAGCCAGGGCAAUCCCCCCAGCCUGAGCUACUUCCCAGACCAGACCACAGAAGCAAGGCCAUGCUCACCGAGGACCCCACUUGUGGACUAGACUUCUGUCCUGCUGUGGCCUCAAAAGCAAUAGCCAGGGCCCCAUGAGGAAACUGCCAUCAGAAGCACAGGUGUGCCUGGCAAGGACACAGGAGGACCACGGCUCCAUGCCGAUGAGAAUGGCAGCUAAGUCUGAAGCUUUCUAUGAUUUAGAUUCCUGGUUGCGAGAGGGAGCCUAUAGGAAUGGCGAGAAGGGAGAAAUUUGCAGAGGCAGCAAGGUGAGUUUAAACUGGAAACUAUGAAGUUCCUGG
rnacentral:lncRNA from 1 species